rnacentral:rRNA from 1 species
UACGUAGGGUGCGAGCGUUAAUCGGAAUUACUGGGCGUAAAGCGUGCGUAGGCGGUUCUCCAAGUCCGUUGUGAAAGCCCCGGGCUCAACCUGGGAAUGGCAGUGGAAACUAGGGGACUGGAAUCUGGCAGAGGGGGGGUGGAAUGCCGCGUGUAGCAGUGAAAUGCGUAGAGAUGCGGCGGAACACCGAUGGCGAAGGCAGCCCCCCUGGGCUGAGAUUGACGCUCAGGCACGAAAAGCGUGGGGGAGCAAAACAGG